rnacentral:rRNA from 1 species
CCUACGGGUGGCAGCAGUGAGGAAUAUUGGUCAAUGGACGGAAGUCUGAACCAGCCAUGCCGCGUGCAGGAUGACUGCCCUAUGAGUUGUAAACUGCUUUUGUACAAGGGUAAACCUGAACACGUGUAUUCAGCUGAAAGUACUGUACGAAUAAGGAUCGGCUAACUCCGUGCCAGCAGCCGCGGUAAUACGGAGGAUCCAAGCGUUAUCCGGAUUUAUUGGGUUUAAAGGGUGCGUAGGUGGAUUGUUAAGUUAGAGGUGAAAUUUUCGGGCUUAACUCGGGAAUUGCAUUUAAUACUGUUGGUCUAGAGAACAGAUGAGGUAGGCGGAAUGCGUGGUGUAGCGGUGAAAUGCUUAGAGAUCAUACAGAACCCCGAUUGCGAAGGCAGCUUACCAAUCUAUAACUGACGUUGAGGCACGAAAGCGUGGGGAGCAAACAGGAUUAGAUACCCUAGUAGUC